UACGUAGGCAGCGAGCGUUGUUCGGAGUUACUGGGCGUAAAGCGUGCGUAGGCGGUGUCUUAAGUUUGAUGUGAAAGCCCCGGGCUCAACCCGGGAAGUGCACUCGAUACUGUGAGGCUCGAGUAUCGGAGAGGUUGGUGGAAUUCUCGGUGUAGAGGUGAAAUUCGUAGAUAUCGAGAGGAACACCGGUGGCGAAAGCGGCCAACUGGACGAAUACUGACGCUGAGACACGAAAGCGUGGGGAGCAAACAGG
rnacentral:rRNA from 1 species